rnacentral:rRNA from 1 species
GUCUACAGCCAUGCUACCCUGAACAAGCCCAAUCCUUUCUGAUCUCGGAAGAAGGGUCGGGUCUGGUUAGUACUUGGAUGGGAUACCACCUAGGAAGACCAGGUGCUGUAGGUG